CUUCUGGGGCUGGACAAACACCACAAACUCUAUCUACUGAGGGUAUACAUUGAAAGAUUAAAUGGUGGUGAGCCUAACUGAAUCUCGGAAGUUUUGAAGGAUGGCCAAUUCUUUAGCGCUGAGCCAUCUGGGAAGCCACGUCGCAAGGAGUGGACGUCACCAUCCUAUCUUUCCAAAUGUUAAGGGAUCGCAAGACAAUGAACAUCCUUUAACCAUCAGAAAAGACUGGGAAACAAUGAGACGUGGAGUGAGACUCAGCGAGACUCCCGUCUGCAGCCUAGAGAAUGGAUGUCUCUUCCAUCUAAGCCAUCCUCGGCUCUGUGAGUGAACGUCGCUGUUGCAUUCAGAAGACACAUCCAGGCUAAUUUGUUUAACAAAUGAAGAGAGGUGUGAGGCACUCCGGGUCACGGGAGCAAGUGAUGUUGUCGCUCUCUUUAUAAAUCAUUCCCGCUGCUCCCGAGACAACGCCAGGUUAACCCGAGGGGCCUCUGUUUCCACUGGCAAAGCUGAGGAAUUCAGGUAAACAGAUUGCGGGAGCAUUUACUGGUCCAAAAAUGAUGAGAAUCUUGCAAAGAUAACGUGGGAACACUAUAGUUCAUUGAUGUGACUGCCUCAUUCCAAGGGCUGCCAUCUGGUCACCAAGCGGAGAUAAGAACUGGGCUAUACUACAGCCUGGCUUGUGAGAUCCAGCUGUCCUUGGCUAGGACCGACUCACCUUCCACUGACCCAUCAACCCAGGGUCCUCCUAGCCCAGCACAUUGGUUAAAUGAUUCUACUAAUGACUGUAGAAUUGAUGAUAACCAUUAACUGUAAUGAUUACCAUUAAACCGUAGAUUUGAUGACAG
rnacentral:lncRNA from 1 species